ensembl:snoRNA
ACCUUUUGGUUCCUGAGCGAGAUGGUUGGGGUUCAGGCCACUGUGUGAGAUGUGCCCCCUCGAACGUCAUCACAGCAUCAGCACAUUACCUGUUGGUGG